rnacentral:rRNA from 1 species
AGUGAACGCUGGCGGUAGGCCUAACACAUGCAAGUCGAACGGCAGCACAGUAAGAGCUUGCUCUUACGGGUGGCGAGUGGCGGACGGGUGAGGAAUACAUCGGAAUCUACUUUUUCGUGGGGGAUAACGUAGGGAAACUUACGCUAAUACCGCAUACGACCUACGGGUGAAAGCAGGGGAUCUUCGGACCUUGCGCGAUUGAAUGAGCCGAUGUCGGAUUAGCUAGUUGGCGGGGUAAAGGCCCACCAAGGCGACGAUCCGUAGCUGGUCUGAGAGGAUGAUCAGCCCCACUGGAACUGAGACACGGUCCAGACCCCUACGGGAGGCAGCAGUGGGGAAUAUUGGACAAUGGGCGCAAGCCUGACCCAGCCAUACCGCGUGGGUGAAGAAGGCCUUCGGGUUGUAAAGCCCUUUUGUUGGGAAAAAAAAGCAGCAGGUUAAUCCCCCGCUGUUCUGACGGUACCCAAAAAAUAAACCCCGGCUAAUUUCGU